rnacentral:rRNA from 1 species
GUGAGGAAUAUUGUGCAAUGGAGGCAACUCUGACGCAGCCAUGCCGCGUGCAGGAAGAAGGUGCUACGCGUUGUAAACUGCUUUUAACCGGGAAGAAACCCCAGGACGUGUCCUGGGUUGACGGUACCGGAGGAAUAAGCACCGGCUAACUUCGUGCCAGCAGCCGCGGUAAUACGAAGGGUGCAAGCGUUAUCCGGAUUCAUUGGGUUUAAAGGGUGCGUAGGCGGAGCGUUAAGUCAGUGGUGAAAUCCUGCAGCUUAACUGUAGACUUGCCAUUGAGACUGGCGCUCUUGAGUGCGCUUGAAGUGGGCGGAAUGUGCCGUGUAGCGGUGAAAUGCUUAGAUAUGGCACAGAACACCAAUUGCGAAGGCAGCUCACUAAGGCGAUACUGACGCUGAGGCACGAAAGCGUGGGGAUCGAACAGGAUUAGAAACCCUAGUAGUCC